GCCUGUCCGCCUGGGUUUUAGAAAGCCAAUCCAGGAGAACACGGGAGGUUGCAGGCAGCUCUGACCAGCUGUCUCUCCCACCCCUCGUUUCAGACCUCUCCAGAGUCCGCUGUCCUUCCACACAAGUCCUUGUUGUCCAGUCUGAUGGCCCAAGCACCCACAGGGCAUGGGGGAGGCCUGAGACAGCGCAGGUUUUGCUGAGGCCAUCAAAAAAGCUUACGGAGCAGGCUUGGCCAUUGGCCGGAAAUCAUUGGCCCCUGCUGGGCUCAUGCAAUAUUCAUGGAACCGGUGUGGGCUCCUGCAAGUUCCUAUGAGCAAUGGCCUUGCCCAUUUGAAGCUCAUCAAAGGACUGGUUCAAUAUCCUGGGCCACUUUCUGUUCCUUUUUCCUCUCCCCCGGUGCCGUCCUCCUUCCACCCUCCCCGACCACCCCUCCUCUUUCUCAGCUCUUGGCACCAAGUAGCUAUGAAGACUCUGAGACCUGGACCAUCCCAAGGCUGUAGCUUUCUUCAAGGCUGCCGGGCUCUGCACGGUGAAAAGUCUGAAAGCUUUUGCUCUUCCAGACAUAAUUAUUAACCAACGUUCACAUCAGAUUCACAAUCAGAAAGCCAGGUGGUAAACAUUUACCAGCACACUACUGGAAAGGAGUGUCUAUGGACUGCUCCCUUGGGAUUACAGAAGAAAGAACGCUGUAGAACAUCUAUACGACUUGGCAAUCAGGGGCCUGAGGUACAGCUGAGGUACAGCUGUGGAAGAGGAGAUGCUAACUGCUGGGAAGACAGCAACACAGAUUUUACAGUCAGCAGCCAGAGACGACUCUCAGAACAGGAAUGUGAAAAAAUCAACCAGAUAUUCUAAACUGAAAUCUACCACUGGAUACCAACAAGGUUAAAUGGUAGAAAAGCUAUAAUCAUUUCUAAAUUCAAGGGUAGGAUUAAUACUGUAUUUUUGCAGUAUCUGAAAGUUCUGUGGCCUUUCUUAUACACCAGUUUAUGUGAUCACCAGAACAGAACUGAGGUUCAGGGGAAAGUUAGCUAUCAGCAUUGGCCCCAUUUUACAGAUGGAAAACUGAGGCAGUGGAAGGUAAAGUAGUUUGCCCAUGGUUACUCUUUCUGUGUAAAUGGCUACCCUGGGACUAGAGGGGGACAGAACUAUCACAGACUUGGGGGUCAGACACACCUUGGUUAAAAACUCAACCUUGACAUUUAUGUAACUUUGGUAAUGCUACUUUACCUUUUUAAGUCUUGCGGGGUUUUGUUUGUUUCUUUGUUUGUUUGUUUUUUAACUUACAAAAUGGGGAUGAUAAAGCCUAGAUCACAAGUUUGCAGUGAGGGUUAGUUUAAAGAGAGAAUGCUGCAAAGGACACGGUGCUUGGAAAGCCUUUGCACCUCCCACCAUGGUGUUAUAAAUUAUUUACAUUUGACUUUAAAAUACAGUAUAAGGCUCUUUUGGCUCACAUA